UACGUAGGGGGCAAGCGUUGUCCGGAAUUAUUGGGCGUAAAGAGCGUGUAGGCGGCUUGGUAAGUCCGCUGUGAAAGUCCAGGGCUCAACCCUGGAAAGCCGGUGGAAACUGUCAAGCUUGAGUCCGGAAGAGGCGAGUGGAAUUCCUGGUGUAGCGGUGAAAUGCGUAGAUAUCAAGUGGAACACCAGUGGCGAAGGCGAGUCUCUGGACAUUUCCUGACGCUGAGGCACGAAAGCCAGGGGAGCAAACAGG
rnacentral:rRNA from 1 species